AAACUUUUAACAACGGAUCUCUUGGCUCCAGCAUCGAUGAAGAACGCAGCGAAACGCGAUAUGUAAUGUGAAUUGCAGAAUUCAGUGAAUCAUCGAAUCUUUGAACGCACAUGGCGCCUUCCAGUAUCCUGGGAGGCAUGCCUGUCCGAGCGUCGUUUCAACCCUCGAGCCCCCGUGGCCCGGCGUUGGGG
rnacentral:rRNA from 3 species